UUUUAUUUUUGUGCUGUGUAUUUGCUGGUUCGAAUAGUUGAAUAAGCCGAGGCUAAAUUUGAAAAUAUGUGUCAAUGAUACAUCGCGCCAGAACAUAUGUAGUUCCGAUUUUUGUUUUUAAUCUAUUGACUGACAUACGUCGAAACCGUUUGAUUAUUCAUCAUUUUGACUAACUAUUUUAAAUAUUUAUUUUAUUAAUUGUAUGAUGAGCCUUGAAAAAGGAACAAGACGUUCCGAAACGUUGGCAAAAUCAUAAUUGAUUAUUUAUUUCUGUCCAAAUUCCUAUGAAAAAUUGCUUAAUUUUUAAAACAUGGACGUGAAUAGUACAGAAUUAAUUACCCCUAGUACCCCCCAUUUUUACAACCUUGGUGACGAGGAUAAUACAAAAAACGUGGGAUUACUGUCGAGAAGGAAACAUUUGCUAUUUAAAUUUCUUGAGGAUUUUGCCACGCCGGCGCUGCUUGGGAGGAUUGAAUGAUAAUCAUUUUUAAUUGAUGAAUGAAGUAAGGAAACUUGACACUUUUGUUCUAAACUUGCAGCAACUCCCAUCCAAUUACCAUUCUGAAAAAUCGAAGCUUGAAAUUGAAAUUCUAGUAAUAUAUCGAAAGUACGGACCUGCCGGCUUGGAAAGCAUUGUAUCCAGUUACUCAGGACCUGAUGCUAGGUUGUUAUCUUCGUAGCACUCCUGUGUGCUGUAAAAUUCCGACGAAAAUAUUUAUUGGUAUCUCGGCUAAGUCAUAGAACAAAAGCAUCAGAAAUGAAUUGUUACAUCGUUUAUUUUCACCAACCUUCAAUAGUG